CUAUGUGUUGUUGGGUAGGGGAGCGUUCUGUAAGCCUGUGAAGGUGUACUGUGAGGUAUGCUGGAGGUAUCAGAAGUGCGAAUGCUGACAUAAGUAACGAUAAAGCGGGUGAAAAGCCCGCUCGCCGGAAGACCAAGGGUUCCUGUCCAACGUUAAUCGGGGCAGGGUGAGUCGACCCCUAAGGCGAGGCCGAAAGGCGUAGUCGAUGGGAAACAGGUUAAUAUUCCUGUACUUGGUGUUACUGCGAAGGGGGGACGGAGAAGGCUAUGUUGGUCGGGCGACGGUUGUCCCGGUUUAAGCGUGUAGGCUGGUUUUCCAGGCAAAUCCGGAAAAUCAAGGCUGAGGCGUGAUGACGAGGCACUACGGUGCUGAAGCAACAAAUGCCCUGCUUCCAGGAAAAGCCUCUAAGCAUCAGGUAACAUCAAAUCGUACCCCAAACCGACACAGGUGGUCAGGUAGAGAAUACCAAGGCGCUUGAGAGAACUCGGGUGAAGGAACUAGGCAAAAUGGUGCCGUAACUUCGGGAGAAGGCACGCUGAUAUGUAGGUGAAGCGACUUGCUCGUGGAGCUGAAAUCAGUCGAAGAUACCAGCUGGCUGCAACUGUUUAUUAAAAACACAGCACUGUGCAAACACGAAAGUGGACGUAUACGGUGUGACGCCUGCCCGGUGCCGGAAGGUUAAUUGAUGGGGUUAGCGGUAACGCGAAGCUCUUGAUCGAAGCCCCGGUAAACGGCGGCCGUAACUAUAACGGUCCUAAGGUAGCGAAAUUCCUUGUCGGGUAAGUUCCGACCUGCACGAAUGGCGUAAUGAUGGCCAGGCUGUCUCCACCCGAGACUCAGUGAAAUUGAACUCGCUGUGAAGAUGCAGUGUACCCGCGGCAAGACGGAAAGACCCCGUGAACCUUUACUAUAGCUUGACACUGAACAUUGAGCCUUGAUGUGUAGGAUAGGUGGGAGGCUUUGAAGUGUGGACGCCAGUCUGCAUGGAGCCGGCCUUGAAAUACCACCCUUUAAUGUUUGAUGUUCUAACGUUGGCCCCUGAUCGGGGUUGCGGACAGUGUCUGGUGGGUAGUUUGACUGGGGCGGUCUCCUCCUAAAGAGUAACGGAGGAGCACGAAGGUUGGCUAAUCCUGGUCGGACAUCAGGAGGUUAGUGCAAUGGCAUAAGCCAGCUUGACUGCGAGCGUGACGGCGCGAGCAGGUGCGAAAGCAGGUCAUAGUGAUCCGGUGGUUCUGAAUGGAAGGGCCAUCGCUCAACGGAUAAAAGGUACUCCGGGGAUAACAGGCUGAUACCGCCCAAGAGUUCAUAUCGACGGCGGUGUUUGGCACCUCGAUGUCGGCUCAUCACAUCCUGGGGCUGAAGUAGGUCCCAAGGGUAUGGCUGUUCGCCAUUUAAAGUGGUACGCGAGCUGGGUUUAGAACGUCGUGAGACAGUUCGGUCCCUAUCUGCCGUGGGCGCUGGAGAACUGAGGGGGGCUGCUCCUAGUACGAGAGGACCGGAGUGGACGCAUCACUGGUGUUCGGGUUGUCAUGCCAAUGGCACUGCCCGGUAGCUAAAUGCGGAAGAGAUAAGUGCUGAAAGCAUCUAAGCACGAAACUUGCCCCGAGAUGAGUUCUCCCUGAGACUUAGAGUCUCCUGAAGGAACGUUGAAGACGACGACGUUGAUAGGCCGGGUGUGUAAGCGCAGCGAUGCGUUGAGCUAACCGGUACUAAUGAACCGUGAG
rnacentral:rRNA from 1 species